rnacentral:rRNA from 1 species
ACAGAGGGGGCAAGCGUUGUUCGGAAUUACUGGGCGUAAAGGGCGCGUGGGCGGCCUGUUAAGUCGAACGUGAAAUCCCCGGGCUCAACCCGGGAACUGCGUCCGAUACUGGCAGGCUUGAAUCCGGGAGAGGGAUGCGGAAUUCCAGGUGUAGCGGUGAAAUGCGUAGAUAUCUGGAGGAACACCGGUGGCGAAGGCGGCAUCCUGGACCGGCAUUGACGCUGAGGCGCGAAAGCGUGGGGAGCAAACAGGA